GAUGAACGCUAGCGGCAGGCCUAACACAUGCAAGUCGAGGGGUAGUUACUUUCGGGUAAUGAGACCGGCGCACGGGUGCGUAACGCGUAUGCAAUCUACCUUUUACAGGGGAAUAGCCCAGAGAAAUUUGGAUUAAUGCCCCAUAGUAUAGUACUUUGGCAUCAAGGAACUAUUAAAGUCACAACGGCAAAAGAUGAGCAUGCGUCCCAUUAGCUAGUUGGUAAGGUAACGGCUUACCAAGGCUGCGAUGGGUAGGGGUCCUGAGAGGGAGAUCCCCCACACUGGUACUGAGACACGGACCAGACUCCUACGGGAGGCAGCAGUGAGGAAUAUUGGACAAAUGGGCGCAAGCCUGAUCCAGCCAUGCCGCGUGCAGGAUGACGGUCCUAUGGAUUGUAAACUGCUUUACACAGGAAGAAACAACGCUACGUNUAGCGUCUUGACGGUACNGUGAGAAU
rnacentral:rRNA from 1 species